CGGGGGGAGCAAGCGUUGUUCGGAUUUACUGGGCGUAAAGGGCGCGUAGGCGGCCUCUGCAAGUCGACUGUGAAAUCUCCGGGCUUAACCCGGAACGGUCAGCCGAUACUGCAGGGCUAGAGUGCAGAAGGGGCAACUGGAAUUCUCGGUGUAGCGGUGAAAUGCGUAGAUAUCGAGAGGAACACCUGCGGCGAAGGCGGGUUGCUGGGCUGACACUGACGCUGAGGCGCGAAAGCUAGGGGAGCGAACGGGAUUAGAUACCCCGGUAGUCCUAGCCUUAAACGAUGAAUGCUUGGUGUCUGGGGUUUUAUAGUCCCCGGGUGCCGUCGCUAACGCUUUAAGCAUUCCGCCUGGGGAUACGGUCGCAAGACUG
rnacentral:rRNA from 1 species